GACGAACGCUGGCGACGUGCUUAACACAUGCAAGUCGAACGAAGUGGCGAACGGGUGAGUAACGCGUAAUCAACCUGCCCUUCAGAGGGGUACAACCGUUGGCAACGACUGCUAAUACCGCAUCCUGACGGAUGGGAUUGCGUCUGAUUAGCUAGUUGGAGGGGUAACGGCCCACCAAGGCGAUGAUCAGUAGCCGGUCUGAGAGGAUGAACGGCCACAAUGGGAAGGAGAAACGGCCCAGACUCCUACGGGAGGCAGAAGUGGGGAAGCUGCCGCAAUGGACGAAAGUCUGACGGAGCAACGCCGCGUGAGUGAUGAAGGCCUUCGGGUUGGAAAGCUCUGUUAAUCGGGACGCGGUACCGGAAUAGAAAGCCACGGCUAACUACGUGCCAGCAGCCGCGGUAAUAC
rnacentral:rRNA from 1 species